AACGAACGCUGGCGGCAUGCUUAACACAUGCAAGUCGAACGAGACCUUCGGGUCUAGUGGCGCACGGGUGCGUAACGCGUGGGAACCUGCCCUUAGGUUCGGAAUAACUCCCCGAAAGGGGUGCUAAUACCGGAUAAUGUCUUCGGACCAAAGAGUUAUCGCCUUUGGAUGGGCCCGCGUUGGAUUAGCUAGUUGGUAGGGUAAAAGCCUACCAAGGCGACGAUCCAUAGCUGGUCUGAGAGGAUGAUCAGCCACACUGGGACUGAGACACGGCCCAGACUGCUACGAGAGGAAGCAGUGGGGAAUAUUGGACAAUGGACGAAAGCCUAAUCAAGCAAUGCAGCGUGAGUGAUGAAGGACUUAGGGUUGUAAAGCUCUUUUACCCGGGAUGAGAAUGACAGUACCGGGAGAAUAAGCACCGGCUAACUCCGUG
rnacentral:rRNA from 1 species